rnacentral:rRNA from 1 species
GACGAACGCUGGCGGCGUGGAUUAGGCAUGCAAGUCGAACGGUAUGGACCUUUCGGGGUUCAGAGAGUGGCGAACGGGUGAGUAACACGUAGGUAAUCUACCCUCAAGACGGGGACAACCCAGGGAAACUUGGGCUAAUACCGGAUGUGUGUAGUGGCUAUUUUUCUGAUUAUCAUUAUUUACGUAAGUGAGUAAUAAUAAGAAGGGAAAGUGGUUAUUACAUAAAAGGUGGCGUAAGCUGCCGCUUGGGGAUGAGCCUGCGUCCUAUUAGUUAGUUGGUGAGGUAACGGCUUACCAAGGCGAUGAUAGGUAGGCGGCCUUAACGGGUGGUCGCCCACACUGGGAUUGAGAUACGGCCCAGACUCCUACGGGAGGCAGCAGUCGAGAAUAGUCUACAAUGGACGGAAGUCUGAUAGUGCGACGCCGCGUGAACGAAGAAUCCCUUCGGGGUGUAAAGUUCUUUUAUACGUGAGCAGUGUCCUUUAUAUUAAUAGUAUAAGGGGAGAGAUAUUAGCGUAUGAAUAAGCAACGGCUAACUCCGUGCCAGCAGCCGCGGUAACACGGGGGUUGCGAGCGUUGUCCGGAAUUACUAGGCGUAAAGUGCAGGUAGGCGGAUAAAUAAGUUUAAGGUUAAAGGCUACGGCUUACCCGUAGUAAGGCGUUAGAUACUGUUUAUCUGGAAUGCGGUUGAGGGAGACAGAAUUCCUGGUGUAGCGGUGGAAUGCGCAGAGAUCAGGAGGAAUACCGAAGGCGAAGGCAGUCUUCUAAGCCGAUAUUGACGCUAAACUGCGAAGGUGUGGGGAUCAAACAGGAUUAGAUACCCUGGUAGUCCACACAGUAAACGAUAAUCACUAGGUGUUGGGUUCUUAAGAGGAUUCAGUGCCGGAGCUAACGCGAUAAGUAAUCCACCUGGGGAGUACGUUCGCAAGAAUGAAACUCAAAGGAAUUGACGGGGACCCGCACAAGCGGAGGAACAUGUGGUUUAAUUCGAUGAUACGCGAGGAACCUUACCCGGGCUUGAAAUGCAUCUGACGUAUUCGGAAACGGAUAUUCCCUACGGGGCAGAUGUGUAGGUGCUGCAUGGUUGUCGUCAGCUCGUGCCGUGAGGUGUCGGCUUAAGUGCCAUAACGAGCGCAACCCUCAUCGUCAGUUACCAUCAGGUAAAGCUGGGGACUCUGGCGAGACUGCCAUCGUAAGAUGCGAGGAAGGUGGGGAUGACGUCAAAUCAUCAUGCCCCUUAUGACCUGGGCUACACACGUACUACAAUGGCAGGAAACAGAGGGAAGCAAUACCGCGAGGAGGAGCAAAUCCCUAAAAACUGUCCCAGUUCGGAUUGCAGGCUGCAACUCGCCUGCAUGAAGUCGGAAUUGCUAGUAAUCGCGAAUCAGCAUGUCGCGGUGAAUACGUUCCCGGGCCUUGUACACACCGCCCGUCACACCAUGGGAGUCGGUAACACCCGAAGCCGGUUGCCUAACCGCAAGGAGGGCGCCGUCGAAGGUGGGAUUGAUGACUGGGGUG